UCAUACCCGAGUUCCUGCUGCUGAAAUGGGUAGCACUGAAGCCCCAACGCCCGUGCAGGCACCUGUGUGCUCCAUUGUGAACGAAGGCCCAGCAGCUCCAGCUGCUUGCUCCAUUGUGAACGAAGCCCCAGCUCCCUGGGCCUGACCUGUGCCAAAUGGCAAGCUGCUUGUCACCUGAACAAAGGGAGAAAAGGAAGAGGGAUGGAGAUGAUGAUGCCAUGGAUGUCUCAGAAAAUGGAAAUGGCGAGAGUUCUUCAUGCAGCAAGAAACCAAUAAGAACUGAACUUAGUUUUCUACCAUAUAGCUUCGUCAUUUCCCCAUAUGAAAUGGUCCCAUAAUCUAAGAGGCGCUGGAAGAGCACUCCCCAUGCUUGUCUUGAGGAGAACACCACCUGGGACUUGGUGGCUGACAUUGAGAAGGUCAUGUUCGUCGGAUUGCAGGGCCAGUCUGACUCACCAACCAACCUCGCCUGCUUGCUCUGUUUAUUGUGCUACACCUCUUACUGAAUUCCAGUCGCUAUAUAUGAUUGCUUACCUGUAUAUAUGUACCACUCUAUGUGUAGCAUUUUUCUAACUGUACAAUAGCACUCACUCCUCUACUGUCAAAUUGCUUGUGUGUAGUUCAUUACGAUGCUAUCCAAGGGAUAUUCAUUUAUGUGCCUGUGAAUUCGUUCUUGGUGUGUAUGUAUGUAUAUGUGCUAGCAACAUGAGUAGGAAUUAGCAUCAUGCUCGGCCUCGAUGAAUUGCAUGCAUACAUUGAUCCAGGGAGAAGUGUAUGGCUGAUACAAUGCUCUUUUUCACAAAGCUAUUAUACACUUUGGGAAAUACAGUAAUUUGUUCUUUACUAAAUGCACUGCAAGUAUGGAUGCUGAUGCAUGCAUGCAUCUAGGGUGAGUCGUACCUAGUUGUUCUUUAUGCAUCUAGGGUUUGCUACUGCUAGCCUCGCCUCGCUUUUGCUACUGCUAGCUCUAUGGAUGUUUAUUUACCUGCAACUUCUGCUAGCUCUAACUUGGUUAUAUAGCAGUUCAAUUCAUUCAAUCUAUUGGAACUAGUUUGUCUACUACUUGUAUCCAGAUUUUAUAUCCUGCCCUAUGCCAUUGUUGACUUGCUUAGGUACAUAAUUGUUAUGUCUUGCAAUCUGGUAUUGAUAAUUGUCAAUUUAUUCAUUUAUACCUUUCUAGUGUACCUUGCAUGUGACCCAGCUAGUCUGUAUAUCAAUGCUCUGUUUCCAAUAGAUGUAUGCUGAUGCCUGAUGGCUGAUUCCUUAAAACUUCACUGUUGCAUUAGCAUUUUUCCUUAGUGCUUCAAACCUUGCUCUCUUUCCCAGGAACCAUCAUCGUCUGCGUCACUACUGGGGCAGGAGAGGAAAGACUGUUGUUGUCUCCAGGAACCGAUAAACUGCUUUACAAAGAUCCCUGCAUAGCUUCACUACUACUGUGUUGGUCCAUUUCCAAAAUUGUAAGGAUAAUGCUUUUGCUUAAGGAGAGGCUCAAGAAGAUCAGGGAGCUCCGCAUCCGAGUUUCAGCCAUCCUCUACAGCAAGGAGCUCCGGUCCAAAGGAGCAACCAACGCUGCUAGUUCCUUGAGGCCAGAUCGAGUAAGAUGGCGCACCAUGGCGUGUGGUGGCGUAUUUUGCUUCUGAGAACAAUACUGUUUAUUUGAAGUGAGAUGUACUAGUCUAUGUUGUAGUGAGCUGUAGUAGGAGUGAAAUGAAAAUGUAUCUGUUAUUGUAUGUACAUUUUACUUGAACAUUAAAUUCUCCAGAAAAAAUGUUCUUAUUGGACC